rnacentral:rRNA from 1 species
CUCGAAUCAAUAAGAGCUAAGUUUUUAUUUAUUUUAAUGUUGAAUAAUUAUUUUAAAUAAUAGCUUGGAAAUGAAAUGUUAUUCGUUUAUUAAUAUAUCUGGUUUUCUUAGAAAUAAAUUUAAUUUAGGUGAUAAUUUUUUACUAUUAUAAUUAUUUAUUUAAUAAAAAUAUUAUCUAAUUCUCUUAGGGUUUAGCUUAAGAGAAUAUUAUUAAUUGGAUUGUUAUUUUGCAGAUAAAUAGGGUUAGAACUUUCUUUUUAUAUAAUUAUUUUACAAUUUUUCUGCUUGUUAUAAUAUUUAUUAGGUAAUAAUUAUUUAUAAGAAUUUUUAAUUAAAUUUUAUAAUUAAAUUAUUAAUGAUUGAAUUAGUAAAAGUUAUUUUAUACAGUAUUAAUUAAAUGUUAAUUUUAUAUUAAUAAUUCGGCAAUUGGUUUUUCACCUGUUUAUUAAAAACAUGUCUUUUUGAUAAUAAUUUAAAGUCUGGCCUGCCCAUUGAUUAAUUUAAAGGCCGCAGUAUUUUGACUGUGCUAAGGUAGCAUAAUCAUUAGUUUCUUAAUUAGGAGCUGGAAUGAAGGGUUGGAUGAAAAAACAUCUUUUUUAUACAAAAAAUUUGAAUUUUAUUUUUAAGUUAAAAAGCUUAAAUUUUUUUAUGGGACGAGAAGACCCUAUAGAGUUUUAUUAAAGUAAAUAAUUUUUAAUUUAGAAUUAACUAAAGUUAUUGUAUUUAAUUUGAUUGGGGUGAUUAAUAAAUUUUAUAAACUUUAUUUUUUAUAAUUCAAUUAUUUUUGAUUUUUUGAUCCUUAUAAAAGAUUAAAAGUAUAAAUUACCUUAGGGAUAACAGCGUAAUUUUCUUUUAGAGUUCUUAUCGAAAGGAGAGAUUGCGACCUCGAUGUUGGAUUAGAAUUAAUAAUUGGUGUAGCCGCUAAUUUAUUAGGUCUGUUCGACCUUUAAAAUUCUACAUGAUCUGAGUUUAGACCGGCGUGAGCCAGGUCGGUUUCUAUCUAUAAUUAGUUAAAAGUUUUUAGUACGAAAGGAUUAAGAU